GGGGUCAUCGCGACUUACCAAACCAUUGCAAACUCCGAAUACCGAGACGGACUGUAUGGGAGACACACGGCGGGUGCUAACGUCCGUCGUGAAAAGGGAAACAACCCAGACCCACAGCUAAGGUCCCAAAUUCACUGCUAAGUGGAAAACCAUGUGGAAAGGCACAGACAGCCAGGAGGUUGGCUUAGAAGCAGCCACCCUUUAAAGAAAGCGUAAUAGCUCACUGGUCGAGUCGGUCUGCGGGGAAGAUUUAACGGGGCUAAGCAGUGAACCGAAGCUUGGGGUGCAUAACUUUGUUAUGCGCGGUAGAGGAGCGUUCCGUAAGCCGUUGAAGGUGGAUUGAGAAGUCUGCUGGAGGUAUCGGAAGUGCGAAUGCUGACAUGAGUAACGAUAAUGCGGGUGAAAAACCCGCACGCCGAAAGCCCAAGGUUUCCUUGCGCAACGUUAAUCGGCGCAGGGUGAGUCGGCCCCUAAGGCGAGGACGAAAGUCGUAGUCGAUGGGAAGCAGGUUAAUAUUCCUGCACCUCGCGUAAGUGCGAUGGAGGGACGGAGAAGGUUAGGUGUACCAGGCGUUGGUUGUCCUGGGGAAAGGCGGUAGGUUUGGAUCUUUGGCAAAUCCGGGAUCCUCUAAGACCGAGCACCGAGACGAGCCUUUAUGGCGAAGUCACUGAUACCACGCUUCCAGGAAAAGCUCCUAAGCUUCAGCUUACGCAGACCGUACCGUAAACCGACACAGGUGGGUAGGAUGAGAAUUCUCAGGCGCUUGAGAGAACUCGGGUGAAGGAACUAGGCAACAUGGCACCGUAACUUCGGGAGAAGGUGCACCCUUUUUGGUGGCUCGUGCGAGCUAUAGCUGAAGAGGGUCGCAGUAACCAGGCCGCUGCGACUGUUUAUCAAAAACACAGCACUCUGCAAACACGAAAGUGGACGUAUAGGGUGUGACGCCUGCCCGGUGCUGGAAGGUUAAUUGAUGGGGUCAGCCGCAAGGCGAAGCUCUUGAUCGAAGCCCCAGUAAACGGCGGCCGUAACUAUAACGGUCCUAAGGUAGCGAAAUUCCUUGUCGGGUAAGUUCCGACCUGCACGAAUGGCGUAACGACAGCGGCGCUGUCUCCACCCGAGACUCAGUGAAAUUGAAAUCGCUGUGAAGAUGCAGCGUUCCCGUGGCAAGACGGAAAGACCCCGUGAACCUUUACUAUAGCUUUACACUGAACGUUGAGUUCGUCUGUGUAGGAUAGGUGGGAGGCUAUGAAACCAUGGCGCUAGCUGUGGUGGAGCCAUCCUUGAAAUACCACCCUGUCGUGCUUGACGUUCUAACCUGGGCCCAUUAUCUGGGUCGGGGACCGUGUAUGGUGGGUAGUUUGACUGGGGCGGUCUCCUCCUAAAGAGUAACGGAGGAGCUCGAAGGUACGCUCAGCGCGGUCGGACAUCGCGCACUGUGUGCAAAGGCAUAAGCGUGCUUGACUGCAAGAUCGACGGAUCAAGCAGGUAGGAAACUAGGACUUAGUGAUCCGGUGGUUCUGUAUGGAAGGGCCAUCGCUCAACGGAUAAAAGGUACUCCGGGGAUAACAGGCUGAUACCGCCCAAGAGUUCAUAUCGACGGCGGUGUUUGGCACCUCGAUGUCGGCUCAUCACAUCCUGGGGCUGUAGUCGGUCCCAAGGGUAUGGCUGUUCGCCAUUUAAAGUGGUACGCGAGCUGGGUUCAGAACGUCGUGAGACAGUUCGGUCCCUAUCUGCCAUGGGCGUUGGAGAUUUGAGAGGGGCUGCUCCUAGUACGAGAGGACCGGAGUGGACGAACCUCUGGUGUUCCGGUUGUCACGCCAGUGGCAUUGCCGGGUAGCUAUGUUCGGAAGCGAUAACCGCUGAAAGCAUCUAAGCGGGAAGCGCGCCUCAAGAUGAGAUCUCCCGGGGCACAAGCCCC
rnacentral:rRNA from 1 species